ensembl:lncRNA RPL23AP7 ribosomal protein L23a pseudogene 7
GAGGGCCGCAGGGAGUGCGCAUGCGGCCGAGUGCGGGACUGGGGCUCCUGGCUGUGGGUGUGGUACCGAGGCUUCAGCGGGUGCCGCCCGCCUAGAGGGAGUGGAGCGAGAGCCUACGACUAGAUUUGCAUCUUUACGUCCUGCGCGGAGGCUGCUACACACAUGCAGAAGUCAUGCUGGUGGCCUGGACAGUGAAGGGAGAGAAGUGGAUUUGGGAGACAUUUAGGAGGAACAGUAAGAGGACCUUGUGCAUGAAUAAUUUGUUUCCACACUACAGACAGAAGAAUCCCAGACUUCUUAGAGAACCCAGUGACUUUUUGCACCUUAAAUCUGUGAAAUCCUCAUGUUUUCUUCUGCCGUAUCCAUAGUUCAAACAAAGAUGAGGCAAAGCUAGAUGCAUUCCUGAAGGAACCCAAGAAAUUCCUCUCUUUAUUUCUCUGGAAUGAAAUGAAUUCUCUAGACCACCAGUUCUAACCUUCAAAAACCAAACCUGUUUGUGAGAUCUCCUUCAAAUACUACUGUAGACCCCAGUGUUUAUUCAUUAAAUUUUUAAAAUAUUUGUUUUAUUUGGAAUCCA